rnacentral:misc_RNA from 1 species
GAUGAAGAACGUAGCGAAAUGCGAUACUUGGUGUGAAUUGCAGAAUCCCGUGAACCAUCGAGUCUUUGAACGCAAGUUGCGCCCGAAGCCAUUAGGCCGAGGGCACGUCUGCCUGGGCGUCACACGUCGUUGCCCCUCCCAACCCCUUCGGGAGUUGGCUGGGACGGAUGAUGGCCUCCCGUGCGCUCCGUCGCGCGGUUGGCAUAAAUAACAAGUCCUCGGCGGCCAACGCCGCGACAAUCGGUGGUUGUCAAACCUCGGUGUCCUGUCGCGCGCGCGUCGUCCGGGGCUUUUUCCAAUCUAAUGCGCGUCGAUUCGUCGGCGCUUUCAACGCGACCCCAGGUCAGGCGGGGUUACCCGCUGAAUUUAAGCAUAUCAAUAAGCGGAGGA